rnacentral:rRNA from 1 species
UGGGGAAUAUUGCACAAUGGAGGGAACUCUGAUGCAGCGACGCCGCGUGAACGAAGAAGGCUUUCGAGUCGUAAAGUUCUUUUAUAUGGGAAGAUAAUGACGGUACCAUAAGAAAAAGCCCCGGCUAACUACGUGCCAGCAGCCGCGGUAAUACGUAGGGGGCUAGCGUUGUCCGGAAUCACUGGGCGUAAAGGGUUCGCAGGCGGAAAUGCAAGUCAGGUGUAAAAGGCAGUAGCUUAACUACUGUAAGCAUUUGAAACUGCAUAGCUUGAGAAGAGUAGAGGUAAGUGGAAUUUUUAGUGUAGCGGUGAAAUGCGUAGAUAUUAAAAAGAAUACCGGUGGCGAAGGCGGCUUACUGGGCUCAUUCUGACGCUGAGGAACGAAAGCGUGGGUAGCAAACAGG